UACGGGGGGAGCAAGCGUUGUUCGGAAUUACUGGGCGUAAAGGGCGCGUAGGCGGCCAUCUAAGUCGGACGUGAAAUCCCUCGGCUUAACCGAGGAACUGCGUCCGAUACUGGAAGGCUUGAAUCCGGGAGAGGGAUGUGGAAUUCCAGGUGUAGCGGUGAAAUGCGUAGAUAUCUGGAGGAACACCGGUGGCGAAGGCGGCAUCCUGGACCGGCAUUGACGCUGAGGCGCGAAAGCUAGGGGAGCAAACGGG
rnacentral:rRNA from 1 species